rnacentral:piRNA from 1 species
ACUCAAUCCAAUUCUAAUCAAAGGAGUUAC